rnacentral:lncRNA from 1 species
UGUCGACUACCAGGCUGCGUUAGGAGCUACCGUCUUCAGCUUUUUCUCGCUGCUGAGAGCUGUUUUGUUACUCAGUAAAACUCUUCUCCACCGUGCUCACCCUUCAGUUGACCGUGCAACUUCAUUCUUCCUGGACAUAAACCCGGGACCCACAGAACAGCGGGUGCAAAAAGGGCUGUAACGCUUUCCUGGCCGGAUCGCCAAGCUGCACGGAGUUUGAAAGAAUAAAGAGAUGGAGGGAACGCAUCAUAACCUGGUAUGACCUGGAUCAACAUAAACAAAGGGGUUUAGAUAGCUCAUGGUUCUGCUGGUUAGGAAGUUCAAGCGCAAGGCCCUGACUUCUGGUAAGUGCUUUCAUGCUGCAUCAACACGACUAAGAAGGUCAAAGAAGAAGUGGACAGGGGAUAUAAAAAUAAUGCAUUGUAUGCCGGAAGGGAUAAAUCUGGGGCUGAGUACAAGCAAAACAAGACCAAAGGAAGCUACCUGAGCAGGUAUUCCAGAUACUCAUGUCAUACACCAAGGUUGUACCAGUGCCCCUUUCUCUGUGACACAUCCAUCCACUGGAAACUUUCGUACAACUAGCUGAAAGAAGAGAAACAUCCUAUUUCAUGUCACUGGAGCCCUAAUGAUCGCAGCCAUUUCAGGAAAUGCCAUCAAUUACAGUGAGGAGCUCAUUCAGAAGUGAAAGAUGAGUUCCAUUCUCUGUUACUUAGAGGUCAGUGAUCAUUCCCCAACCUCUUCAUAGUGAACAAAUAGUACAGUAAAUAGGACAAUAGAUUAUAUUGGAUGUAGAUGAAGUUUGGGCAGAAUCAGGGAUCAAUGGCUCCAUCUAAAUUGUUGCACCAAAACACAGACAUACACCUGCUUUUAGAUUUGAAGAGUGAAUCCUCUCUGGAAAAUGUAGCAACUACUCAAAAAAGGUUGGAGGACCAACACUUCUAAGAAGCAGGACGUGAGACGUGCCUUCGCUCCUCUUUUGCUUUCUGCCAUGACUGUGAGGCCUCCCCAGCCAUGUGGAACGCUGGAGGGAGGAUGGCAUUUCAAGAGGUGGCAAGUGGUCCUUCUUCACAGUCAUAUCUCUCAUUCUGCAAGCCAAAGACUCAAGCUGCAUAAUAUUCCAUGGUGUAUAUAUACCACAUUCUUUUCCCAGUCAUCAAUCACUGGACGCUUAAGUUGAGUAAUGGCUUUUUAUUGAGGGUAUUACAAAGCUCAAAUCUGAGAAAACCUUGUCUACCAUCAACCCUGACCUACAGAGGAGAGGCACCCCCAAGCUUAUUAGUGAUCCUGUCUCCGUCUUAUUGGCACAUCCUGAUGGCCUUGAUCUCUAGUUCUUCCUGUGGAGCAUAACCAUAUGGUUCUUUGCCAAGAUGUUAAGACCAAAGUCGGAGAGUGAACCCCAUGUCAAUGAAUUCUUGUUUUUCUGAUCUUACAUUCCAUCACUUUGAUCCAGUACUCUCAAAAUGCAAUCACAGUUGUACAUGUCUUCUCCUGUCAAUAAACGCUACCUUAGUACUGCGGGUGGAUAUCCUCCUCCACUGAAUGCAAACUAUUAAGUAAUGAAAAGACAGCACUCCAAGCAAUAUAGAUUUAUAGGCCAACCUGGCAAUCAAGGGUAACUGACAUGAAAAUGGAUUGCUUCACAUUUUAAUUACAAAGAUACUCUUCAGUACCAUAAAUUGAAGAAAACACUAACUUUUUGUGGCUACUGUAAUUGUCAAAGUAUAAUUACCUGUGUUUUCUCACCUACGUAUUUGAGAUAGAGACAAAACCAAGUAAGUUAAUCCACUUAUAAUAAAAAUGUCUUCUGAGAAUAUGAUUGAAGCUUUGUGGCAACUCUGUGAACAGCAAGUCUGUCAGUGCCAUUUUUCCAAUAGCAUGUGCCUACUAUGUGUCUGUGUAUGUCAUUUUGUUAAUUUCUGCAACAUUUCAAACUUUUGUAUUAUUAUUAUAUUUGUUAUGGUGAUUUGCGGGUUAUUUUCCACACUAACUUGAUUUUUGGACCAUCUCCCUGCUAAACACUUCACAUUUCAGUUCCUCUCUGAGCCUUUAGCGGAGAUUAAAGUAGCAGUUAAAGCUGGCUAUGCCCAACAGUCAAGGCAAAUUUUGUUUACAAGAUGCUUGGAACACAAUUAUUUCUGGAAAGAGUAUUACACUCAGUAUUCUGCAUUUCAUAUGGCAUUUCAAAGUCCUGAGAAUGACUCUCCGUAGUCUUCUAUGUACUAAUUAAACAUGAACAUGUGGUAAACAACAUGGACUAUUCCAGUGGACAGAAAGCGUCAAGUUAAAAUGUUUAAGUGCCCCAUAUUUUUCUAAGUAUUCUUAUCCAGUUGGUCUGACUGGUCAUUAUCUGUUUUGUAAAACUUCCCAAACAACUCAUCAAUAUUUAAAUAGCUUUCAACUGAUGGACUGUACAGAGAGAGGAGCACUUUUGGAAUAAUCCUCACAGCCUAAAGGCCAAUGAUGACACAGAUGGUGAUGUUUUUAAGGAGGUGAUUGAUAGAAGAUAUUUGAUCCCUUUGGUUUGGAGUCUACCAACUGAGAUAAAGGAGAAGAGCUGAGAAGCCUUGUAACAUUAGUAUUCUUUGUCUCUUUGUGGAUGACCCUUUCACAUUAAUAUCGACAUCAGAAACUGAAUUCAAGAAAAGAAAGGGAGAGUCACACAUUCUUUCAAUAAUCCUUUGUCAGUGAACAUUUGAGCACCAUAGGAAGCCAAAUCAGACAUCACUUAAAAUAGUUUUUGGGUCAAGAUUACAAAAAAAAGGAAGACAGGAAAGAACAGUGGAAUCAGCAGGAAUGUGUCCCCUAAAGUCCCUUAAACUAAGUUGGAACACAACCCAGAGACUUCCUUUGGCCUGGAGGCAAACUUAGGAGCUGCCUUUCAGUGUCAUCUCAGGAGCAUCCUUGAAAGAAUCAGGGAAGAAAGU